rnacentral:rRNA from 1 species
UACGGAGGGGGUUAGCGUUGUUCGGAAUUACUGGGCGUAAAGCGCGCGUAGGCGGACCAGAAAGUUGGGGGUGAAAUCCCGGGGCUCAACCCCGGAACGGCCUCCAAAACUCCUGGUCUUGAGUUCGAGAGAGGUGAGUGGAAUUCCGAGUGUAGAGGUGAAAUUCGUAGAUAUUCGGAGGAGCACCAGUGGCGAAGGCGGCUCACUGGCUCGAUACUGACGCUGAGGUGCGAAAGUGUGGGGAGCAAACAGC